GGGCCCGCACAAGCGGUGGAGUAUGUGGUUUAAUUCGAUGCAACGCGAAGAACCUUACCUAGACUUAACAUGUUUGAGAAUCUCUGUGAAAGCAGAGAGUGCCUUUCGGGGAACUCUUACGUAGGUGCUGCAUGGCUGUCGUCAGCUCGUGUCGUGAGAUGUCGGGUUAAGUCCCUUAACGAGCGAAACCCUUAUCUUCAGUUGCCAGCGAGUAAUGUCGGGGACUCUGGAGAGACUGCCGGUGUUAAACCGGAGGAAGGUGGGGAUGACGUCAAGUCCUCAUGGCCUUUAUGUCUAGGGCUGCACACGUCCUACAAUGCAACGUACAAAGCGACGCGAAAUCGCGAGAUCAAGCAAACCGCACAAAACGUUGCCCAGUUCGGAUUGCAGGCUGAAAUUCGCCUGCAUGAAGCCGGAAUCGCUAGUAAUCGU
rnacentral:rRNA from 1 species